AUUGCUUCUCGGCCUUUUGGCUAAGAUCAGGUGUAGUAUCUGUUCUUGUCCGUUUAAUAUCUGAUACGUCCCUUAUAUUACCUUAUAGUACCUUAUAUUGAACGGAUUUUUGGGACAGGGAGUCGGAAGAGGGGCUCGCUCCGUCCACUCCGACCAUCCACGCGGUAUUGCAGUGCAUCCGGGAACGGUGCACCUCCU